rnacentral:lncRNA from 1 species
UCCUGAAUUCGCCCCUGAUUCCACCGGUGCUCUACUCCUUCAACAUUCCCAGCAAAAACGAGUAGAAAUGGAGGUAAUGAACCCAAUUCGUAGAUUCUGUACCUCUUUUGAAUUCUCAUCUGAUACUAGAGUUUUUCUGUGUACCCUUGAGCUCUCCAUUUUUUCAAAUCAAUUGCCAUCACGUCGGUGUUGACAUAACAUGGGUUACGGCCUUUGAAUAUUGUGAAAAAUGCUAGACUUUUCUAGAAUCUUGAUGUGAAGUAAUCGCUGAAAUUAGCAUGGCAAUAUUCGAGGGCACCUAAGACGCGGGAAUUAAGGUUGAUUUGCCAGAGUUUUGCAAUGUCGUUAAUGACUAUGAGGUCGGAGUCAAGGUCGAUAAUGUAGAUGACGACUGGGAGGAUGAGGUCAGAGAAAUUGGUGGUGGUGGUUGCCGAAGGUGGUUGUUGUGGUUGGGUGGGGUGGUUUUGAUUUUGGGGAAGAUGGAGAUGGGGAUAGGUUGUGGCUUUAUUUAUUAUUAUUUUUUUAAUUUUUGACUUAAUAGGG